CGAGGCGACUUUCUGGUCUGUAACUGACACUGAGGCGCGAAAGCGUGGGGAGCAAACAGGAUUAGAUACCCUGGUAGUCCACGCCGUAAACGAUGAGUGCUAAGUGUUAGAGGGUUUCCGCCCUUUAGUGCUGAAGUUAACGCAUUAAGCACUCCGCCUGGGGAGUACGGCCGCAAGGCUGAAACUCAAAGGAAUUGACGGGGGCCCGCACAAGCGUUGGACAUGGGGUUUAAUUCUCAAACAACUCCAAAGAACCUUACCAGGUCUAGACAUCCUCUGACACCUCUAAAUAUAGAAACUCCC
rnacentral:rRNA from 1 species